CUCCGCGCCGCCGCCCAUCUCCUCUGCCACCAUGUCUCUCUGCCGGGCCGCCUCGCUGGCGCUGGCCUCCCGCCUGAGCAGGGCUCCCGCCGCCGCCAGCCGCCUCAAGCAGCGUGCACCUCCUCGCCAGAUGUCAUCUGGGAGUGUUCCUGGCUCUUCUGGAGACAGGAUGACGAUCUAUCUCCUUGCUGGUGUUGCAGCUUUUGGUGGUUUAUUUUAUGCCUACAGAGUAGUCAAUUCAUCCCACAGCAAGUUUAUCAAACAUACAAAUAUUCUUCAUGAGAGAGCAGAGGGGCAGAAGAACAAUCCUUGGUCAAGGAAGGAAGGUGAUGGAGAAGAGACAGAUGAAGUCACUGAAGCAGAGGCUGAGGAAGAGGCUGAUACAGCAGCUGCUGUUGAACCUUCAGCACAGGAUGAGAGUGCUGGACCCACAGCACAGGAUGAGACUUCCAGGGUAUCCGCAGAAGCUAAAGGGGAAAAUGACUUACUGGCUCCAGAGAGCAUUAAGAAUGAGCAGCAGUGUUCCUAAUGGAGUUUGUCCUGCAGUGAAAACUAAUCCAGGCAUUAAUUUGACAUAUCAUGAGCAUAAG
rnacentral:lncRNA from 1 species